CGAGCGAAGAGUUAUGAAUUUAUUCAUAACAACUUAGCGGCGGACGGGUGAGUAACACGUGAACAACCUGCCCUUUAGACCGGGAUAACAGUGGGAAACUGCUGCUAAUACCGGACGGAGUUUAGACGCAGCAUUGCGACUAAAUGAAAGGCUUUGUGCUAAAGGAUGGGUUCGCGUUCCAUUAGCUAGUUGGUGGGGUAACGGCCUACCAAGGCGAUGAUGGAUAGCCGACCUGAGAGGGUGACCGGCCACAUAGGAACUGAGACACGGUCCUAACUCCUACGGGGGGCAGCAGUCGGGGAUAUUGCACAAUGGAGGAAACUCUGAUGCAGCGACGCCGCGUGAGCGAAGAAGGUCUUCGGAUCGUAAAGCUCUGAUGCGAGAGAUGAAGGAAGUGACAGUAUCUCGCCAGCAAGCACCGGCUAACUACGUGCCAGCAGCCGCGGUAAUACGUAGGGUGCAAGCGUUGUCCGGAAUUACUGGGCGUAAAGGGAGCGCAGGUGGUUAUUUAAGUCAAUAGUAAAAGGCAUGGGCUUAACCCAUGUAAGCUAGUGAAACUAAAUAACUUGAGUAUGGUAGAGGUAAGCGGAAUUCCUAGUGUAGCGGUGAAAUGCGUAGAUAUUAGGAGGAACACCAGUGGCGAAGGCGGCUUACUGGGCCAUAACUGACACUGAGGCUCGAAAGCGUGGGGAGCAAACAGGAUUAGAUACCCUGGUAG
rnacentral:rRNA from 1 species